CAGCGCGCGCUCAAGAGCAGACGUCAAUGAAUUUCAUUGCAUAGAUUUUGUUGUGGAUUGAACAUUCGGUGUUUGAACUUUCGCGAGGAACAACAGUUUCAUUUGGAUUGAACUCAUUGGUUUUGGACAAAUCUUGUGCUGGUGUGUCUUUAAUGGAUUGGAAACGACGGGGAUAAAGGUAGGAAAUCACAAUUGUUUUAUGAAUGUGCUGUGGUUACUGUUGUCACAGUUGGGCAGAUGACACAAGCAAGCCCCCCACCGAGGUCAUGGAAAGCGUGUCAGUUUCAUUGGGAAAGAUGCUUUCUUGUGAUUUGAAGAUAGUGUCUGAACUUUCACCAGGAACUCAAGAUUCAUUUGGAUUGGACAAAUUGUGGACACAUUGUGGACAAAUUUUGUGUGACUGUUUCAUUGUGGACUGAGAAUAGACUGGAAACUAAAGUCGGCAGAAAAGGUA